GACCUCGGAUCAGGUAGGAAUACCCGCUGAACUUAAGCAUAUCAAUAAGCGGAGGAAAAGAAACCAACAGGGAUUGCCUCAGUAACGGCGAGUGAAGCGGGAAGAGCUCAAAUUUAAAAUCUGGUUUGCUUUGCAAAUCCGAGUUGUAGUCUGAAGAAACGUUUUCCAUGAAAGCUGAGGCACAAGUCCUUUGGAACAGGGCAUCAUAGAGGGUGAGAAUCCCGUCCAUGGUCUCAAGCCUUUCAUUUUGUGAUACGUUUUCUAAGAGUCAGGUUGUUUGGGAAUGCAGCCUAAAAUGGGUGGUAAAUUUCAUCUAAAGCUAAAUAUUGGCGAGAGACCGAUAGCGAACAAGUACCGUGAGGGAAAGAUGAAAAGAACUUUGAAAAGAGAGUUAAAAAGUACGUGAAAUUGUUGAAAGGGAACCGU
rnacentral:rRNA from 1 species